rnacentral:rRNA from 1 species
ACGCAAAUCCUACCAGGGGAACCUGGCCCUUAAUUCGAUGAUCCACGAUUGUUUUCUACCUGCUCCUUGUUGGGGUCGGCCGCUGCGGCGACCCCGGUCAGCUUACAUACCGCCGUUGUUCAGCCUAUACCGCGAGGGAGUAAAAAUAGGCGGUGUAGUAGAUUUGUUUUGUGCUGCCAAUUCAGGUAAACGUGUAGCUUACGGAGAGGGGCUGCUGGGUUACACUAUGUGUUUUUGGUGGAUCCUGAGUCUAAAGCGAAGGUGAAAGAGGACUUGGAAGUAAUGGCUUUGGUCAAAGGAGUCGUGAAUAGAGCUCUAGUGUGUGU